rnacentral:rRNA from 1 species
AGAGUUUGAUCCUGACUCAGGAUGAACGCUAGCUACAGGCUUAACACAUGCAAGUCGAGGGGCAGCAUGGUCUUAGCUUGCUAAGGCCGAUGGCGACCGGCGCACGGGUGAGUAACGCGUAUCCAACCUGCCUUACACUCUUGGACAGCCUUCUGAAAGGGAGAUUAAUACAAGAUGUUAUCAUGAGUAAGCAUUUUCGCAUGAUUAAAGGUUUACCGGUGUAAGAUGGGGAUGCGUUCCAUUAGAUAGUAGGCGGGGUAACGGCCACCUAGUCUUCGAUGGAUAGGGGUUCUGAGAGGAAGGUCUCCCACAUUGGAACUGAGACACGGUCCAAACUCCUACGGGAGGAA